rnacentral:rRNA from 1 species
AAACGUAGGGCGCAAGCGUUGUCCGGAAUCACUGGGUGUAAAGGGUGUGUAGGCGGGCUGGUCAGUCGAGGGUUAAAGACAUCGGCUCAACCGAUGAGAUGCCCUCGAUACUGCCAGUCUUGAGUGCGGUAGAGGCCGGUGGAAUUCCUGGUGUAGCGGUGAAAUGCGUAGAUAUCAGGAGGAACACCAAUGGCGAAGGCAGCCGGCUGGGCCGUCACUGACGCUGAGGCACGAAAGCGUGGGGAGCAAACAGGAUUAGAUACCCUUGUAGUCCC